ensembl:snRNA U2 U2 spliceosomal RNA
AUCGCUUCCGGCCUUUUGGCUAAGAUCAAGUGUAGUAUCUGUUCUUAUCAGUUUAAUAUCUGAUACGCCCCGAUUCGGGGCAACGAUAAACGCAUUUUUAGAACAGGGAGCUGAAUAAGGGGCUCGCUCCGUUCGCUCACCACGCAUCGACCCGGUAUUGCAGCGCCCGGGAACGGUGCCCCUUUG